UCAAAUUUAGAAAACAUUAGCAAGGCAAGAGAAAUAUCAUUACCUAAAAGAAGAGUAAGGGCAGGUAUUCUCAAAUCUAAAGGUUAAGUGCGGGAUUCUAGAAUAGGAAAGUAACAAUGAUAUGGGAUUACAUGUAAUUCUAUGUUUGGUUGACUCCUUAAGUAAUGAGGAUUCAGUUAUUCAAUAACCAGAUCCUCCAAGAUUUCCUCUCAAACUCUAUCCUUAUCUUUCUGAAUUAAGGAUAGAAAGUCAGGGUUUCUUGGGGUAAUCCUGCUCCUACAUAUAUCUGUGUUUUUCUUCAUCAUUUAAUAAUACUUGUGGGAAACGAUUUUGGAAAAUUACAUGGUGUUGAAGCAAGGCACUCCAGAAAAUUGCCUUCUUUGAAACCCAAACCAAAUUUCAUGACCAAGUACGGCAUGAACACCUCAUCGUCCAAGGUAACCUCAAAUCCUGAAGGAGUAACAAUCAGGAAUAAUCAUGGAGGAUCAGGAGGACUAUCUUCCCUUAUCACAAGCCAUAAAGUUAACGGCCACAACUACCUUCAAUGGUCGCAAUUUGUGAUGAUGUACAUUGGCGGAAAAGGUAAAGAUGCAUAUGUUACAGGCAAAGUAACAGUUCCAAACAAAGUUGUACCAACUUCAGGGUCUAGAAAACUGGGAUUCACAGGGUCAUGACAUGGCUAAUCAAGUCCAUGAAAAAUGAGAAGCCAAACUACAUGGUGUCCAAGCGAUCUCACUGUUACCCAGUACUUCUACACUCUUAGCCGAUACUGGCAACAACUAGACAUGUUCGAGACUCAUGCUUUGAAGUGUCCUAAAAAACAAACUUGUACAAGAAGAUGGUAGAGAAAAAGAGGAUCUUUAAGUUCUUACUUGGUCUCAGCAAGAACUGAGAUGAAGUGAGAGGAAGAGGUGAUGGGAACUAAGUUUCUUCCAAGUCUUGGAAAACAUUUAGUUCGUCGAGAAGAGAGUAGAACAAAUGUAAUGAUGGGAACUCAAGUUCCACACAUGCGUUGGAGGGAUCAACCUUGGUGACCCGGGGAUCCACCCAAAUCACUCCAAUGAAAACCAUGAUCAUGGUAGAAAACCAGGAUACUCGAGAGAAAACUACUAGAAAAUUCAUAGUAAACCCAUUGAUUGGAAGCAUACACACAGCGACAAAGAUAAUUGGGCCCAUGCUGCCCCACAGAAGAAAAAACAUCCCUGAAGAAAGUCCCUUUUGUAAAGAGCAGCUAGAGGUGCUCUAGAAGCUCCUAAGUCAGAACACUCUCCAUCAGUUUCCUGCUCCCUGUCUCGGACUAGAUUGAUAGCCUAGAAAGGUAACAAUUCCACUGCCUUGUUUGUUAAUACAAAACACGCAAGUACUUGGAUUGUAGAUUCUAGUGCUUCAGAUCACAUGACUGGAGAUGUUAAAUUAUUCCAUCAAUACAGACCUAGCAAGGAAAACUACCAUGUUCAAACUACAAUGUUCAAAUUCCUGAUGGUUCCUUCUCCAAAAUUGAAGGUCUCGGGACAGUGAGAAUUACCAAGCACGUGACUCUAAACUCAGUUUUAUAUGUUCCCAAUUUGGAUUAUAAUCUUGUUUCAUUAGUAAAUUGACUAGUGAUCACAACUUUGAAGCUAAAUUCUUUCAUUUCACAUGUGAAUUUCAAGAAUUGGAAUCGGGGAAGAAGAUUGGUAGUGCUAAGAUGUGUUCUGGAAUCUACCUCCUCAAGGAAGGUCUUUCUCUUCGAAACCAGACCCAAAAUGCUGGUAUGUCUUGUAAGCGGUUGUUAUCUUUCUAAUAAAGAUGUGAGGUUAUUACCUUUCUAAUAAAGAUGUGAGGUUAUGUUGUGGCACUAUUGACUAGGUCAUCCAAUUUUACAUACCUUGAAAAUUGUGACCAUCCUUAUUCAUUGAUAAAAGUUCAAAGCUUUUCAAUUGUGAAGUGUGCCAACUCUCCAAACAUACACGUAGAAGUUAUCCUAGUCUCACAUACGAACCUUCUCACCCUUUUGCCUUAAUUCACGAUGAUGUGCGGGUUCUUCAAGAGUGAAAAACAUAACAGGUUCAAGGUAGUUGUAUCAUUAUUUAAUUUUUUUUUUUUUGAAAUAAAAAUGUGAAUUGUAUAUUGAUAGGUACCAAAAGGAAUGAUGCCCAUGUACAAAAAUUUACAAGUUAAUUAAAGUAUAAAAAAGGUUCUCUAAAUCUGCCCUAGUAUAUAGAGAAUGACCAUUAAUAAAAAAUCGAGGGUCUGGAACCAUCUAUACUUAGAAUAUCAAUUUCAUCAACAUUUUCAACCCAUCAAAAACCUUUCUAUUCGUUUCCUUCGACACCACCCAAAAGAUAGUAAGCGAAAUAAUCUCCACUUUUUUUCUGCAACCACUAAUGCGCUUCCAAGCCCACAACCUCUUCCCUCACCAGACCUGCCAUCACUCAAUUAAUACCAAGCAACCCAUAAAUCAUAAUCCACAGCUUAUAAACCACAGGACACCAUAGCAAAAGAUGAUUGCAAGUCUCUUCCGUCCUCGUACGCAAAUAACAAGGAUUGACCCGUACCUUUCCCUUUUCCCCAAAUUGUCAAUUAUCAGACAACGUUCCCUGGUGGCCUCCCAAGUAAAAGACGGAACUCGGGGAUGGACUGUUGUGUUCCACAUUUGUAUCAUUUAUUGAUGAUCAUAAUAGGUUAACAUAGGUAUUUCUUAUGAAAGAAAAAACUAAGGUUGGCCAAAUCUUCCAAAACUUCAAUAGUAUGAUACAAACUCAAUUCCAUAGCAAGAUUCAAGCUCUCAAAACUAAUAAUGCCAAAGAAUAUUUCAAAAUCUGUCCUUGGCGCCUAUCUCCCUAAUCAAGCAUAAUUUACAUAAGGUCAUGUGUUGACACUCUGCUACUAAACAGAGUUAUUGAAAGAAAAAACAGGCACCUCUUAGAGGUAGCCCAAUCUCUCAUGUUGUUCUCCUAUGUUCCAAAACAUUUUUAGGGAGAAGCAGUUCUUAUAACCACAUAUCUCAUCAGUUGAAUGCCCUCAAGAAGUUUACAAUUCGAAACUCCAUGUCACACCAUUCUCAAAGUCUUCCCACAUACCAAGAUUGUGUCCACAUUGAAUCCAAAAGUAUUUGGGUGUUCCACAUUUGUCCAUAUACAGUCCUAGCACUGUAGGAAAUUAGACCUAAAAUCCAUUAAAUGCAUAAUCUUGGAUUACUCUCCAAACCGAAAAUGCUACAAAUGUUAUCCUCUAAUCACCAGAAAAUUCUGUACUUUAAUGGACGUGACAUUCUUUGAAAAUCAGCCAUGUUACCCAAACCUGAAAUUCAGGGGGAGAAAAUUGGAGAAUAUCAGCUUUGGGAUAAUGACCAACAGUCAAGGGACUCUAUAUGGUUGCCAUUACCUAAACCAAACUCAAUACCGAUUCCCAGCCACCUCCACCAUGCAAACUACAACCUGGAACCACUGAUCAUACAAAAAACCAACAGCAAACUCAAUCUCUUGAUGAUCGCCUGAUCCCAUCUUACCCAAGAGUCAAAUGUAGACAAACACCUGUCCCUCACCUCAAUCAUGGAUGACAACCAAAACCUUAACGAGGAACUGAUUGUCUACAAUUGGAGAAGGAAAACUGAAAGGGAGGUAGGGCACUCAACACACUUGAUGAUCAAGAAUUUGGACCUCCACCAAUUCGCACCCAAGAUCACACCGACAAGGAAAUUUCUGGUCUUGACUCUACAUCUAGAAUGGAUGACUUAAAUAUUCUAAUUGCUCUAAGAAAAGGAGUAAGAACUUCCACAAACUACCCAAUCUGCAUGUAUAUUUCUUAUAAAGGAUUGUCUCCAUCCUAGAAGCUUUUGUAUGUACCAUUGACGAUGAGUAGAUUCCUAAUUCCAUCUAGCAGGCACUCAAGAAUCUUGAAUGGAAAUAAGCAAUUAGAGAUGAAAUUAGAGCACUUGAGAAGAAUGACACAUGGGUGAUUUCUGAUCUUCUCCUGGAAAGAAAACUGUUGCCUGUAAGUGGACUUUUACUAUUAGCAUAAGGCAGAUGGAAGCAUUGAGAGACUACAAGCCAGACUUGUUGAAAGAGAUUUACUGUAUCAUAUAGAAUAAAUUGUAAGGAAACCUUUGGUUUAGUGGCUAAACUCAACACUAUAGUGGCCAGGUAACAACUUGAUCUCAAAAAUGCUUUUCUGAAUGGAGAUCUUGAGGAAAAGGUGUACAUGAACAUUGCUCGAGGACUUGAAGCAAACCUCAACAUCAACGAGGUCUGCAAACUGAAAAAAUCUCUUUAUGACCUAAAACAGUUCCCAUGGGCCUGGUUUGGGAGGUUUACAAAGUCCAUGAGAAAAAUUGGGUAUGCUCAAUAUCAAGCUGACCAUACUCUCUUUGCGAAACGAUCCUUAUAAAAGAACAUUGCUUUUCUCACUGUGUAUUUUGACGACAUCAGUCACGGGCAAUUAUGAAGAGGAACUGUUGAAGCUCUAAAAAUUUCUGGCCAUGGAAUUUGAAAUAAAAGACCUUAGCAAUCUUAAAUUCUUUCUAGGCAUGGAGGUGUGAAGAUCAGAGAAGAGUUUAUUCAUCUCACAAUGCAAAUACAUCCUGGACUUACUGAAGGAAACUAGAAGGCUAGGUUGUAAGCUUGUAGAUACCCCAAUGGACCCUAUUACAAGGAUAGGAAAUAAGAAGGGAAGUAAGCCAAUGGACAGGGGGAGCUAUCAGACACUUAUUGGUAGACUCAUCUAUUUAUCCCACACCAGACAGAUGUUAGGUUCUCAAUUAGUGAUGUCAGCCAAUUCAUGCAUGACCCAACUAAGGAACGCAUGGAGGCUGUGUACAAGAUUUUGAGGUACCUCAAGAUGACUCCAGGAAGAGGAUUACUUUACAAGAAGCAAGUUACCUGGGACAUAUUUGUUUUCUGUGGUGUAGACUAGGCAGGAGAUGUGAAGGAUAAAAGAUCCACUUUGGGUAAUGUUCCUAUGUCUAGAGGUACUUAGUUACAUGAAGAAGCAAAAAACAACCUGUUGUUUCGAGAAGCAGUGCUGAAGCUGAAUUUAGAGCAUUCACAUUGGGAAUUUGUUAAGGUAUGUGGAUAAAGAGACUCCUUGGUGCAUUGGAGAUAAUUAUUAAGACACCUAUCAGCCUAUACUAUGGCAACCAGACUGCCAUUAGUAUAACAAAGAAUCCUGUGCAUCAUGACCAAACAAAGCAAAUAGAAAUUGACGCCACUUCAUUUAAGAGAAAAUUGAAAAUCCUGUAGUUCAAGUGAUCUGCAUGCCUGCAAAAUCACAGACUGCUAAUAUCCUCACUAAAGCCCUUCCAGUAACCACCUCUGAAGAACUCUGUAGCAAGCUAUGUUUGUUCAAUAUUUGCAACCCAGGUUGAGGGAGAGUGUAGGAUUCUAGAAUCGGAAGGUUAUAUGAGAUUCCUUGUAAUUCUAGAUUUAGUUGACUCCUUAAAUAAUGAGGAUUUGGUUAUUCAAUAACCAGAUCCUCCUAGAUUCCUCCCAAACUCUACCUUAUCUUUCCGAAUUAAGGAUAGAAAGUUAGGAUUUGUUGGUGUAAUCCUACUCCUAUAUAUUGCUGUAUUUUUCUUCAUCAUAAUAAUAAUACUUCUGAGAAAUAAUCCCUCAGAGAAUUACAGGAAA